rnacentral:rRNA from 1 species
UACAGAGGGGGCAAGCGUUAUUCGGAAUUAUUGGGCGUAAAGGGCGCGUAGGCGGCCUUGCAAGUGACGGGUGAAAUCCCUCGGCUUAACCGAGGAACUGCCUGUCAAACUGCGUGGCUUGAGACCAGGAGAGGUGAGUGGAAUUCCCAGUGUAGCGGUGAAAUGCGUAGAUAUUGGGAGGAACACCAGUGGCGAAGGCGGUUCUCUGGGCCUUACCUGACGCUGAGACGCGAAAGCGUGGGGAGCGAACCGG